GGUCAAGUGAAGAAGCGCAUACGGUGGAUGCCUUGACACUCAGAGUCGAUGAAGGACGUGGACUAACGCUGCGAUAUGCUUCGGGGAGUCGGUAAAUAGGCUUUGAUCCGAAGAUUUCCGAAUGGGGGAACCCAGCCAUACAUAAUGGUAUGGUUAUCCUUAUACUGAAUACAUAGGUGUAAGGAAGGCAGAACCAGGGAACUGAAACAUCUAAGUACCUUGAGGAAGAGAAAGCAAAUGCGAUUUCCUUAGUAGCGGCGAGCGAAACGGGGACAUAGCCCAAACCAAGAGGCUUGCCUCUUGGGGUUGUAGAAGAGAUUAGACGGAACGACCUGGAAAGUUCGGCCAUAGUGGGUAACAACCCUGUAGUCGAAAAUCUCUUAGUCUUGAAUGUAUCCUGAGUACGGCGGAACACGUGAAAUUCCGUCGGAAUCUGGGAGGACCAUCCUCCAAGGCUAAAUACUCCUGAGUGAUCGAUAGUGAACCAGUACCGUGAGGGAAAGGUGAAAAGCACCCCGGAAGGGGAGUGAAAGAGAUCCUGAAACCGUGUGCCUACAAAUAGUGAGAGCCCGUUAACGGGUGAUGGCGUGCCUUUUGUAGAAUGGACCGGCGAGUUACGAUCCCGUGGCGAGGUUAAGCUGAAGAGGCGGAGCCGCAGCGAAAGCGAGUCUGAAUAGGGCGUUUAGUACGUGGGCGUAGACCCGAAACCAGGUGAUCUACCCAUGGCCAGGGUGAAGUUCAGGUAACACUGAAUGGAGGCCCGAACCCACGAACGUUGAAAAGUGCGCGGGAUGAGGUGUGGAUCGGAGGAAAUUCUAAUCGAACCUGGAGAUAGCUGGUUCUCCUCGAAAUAGCAUUUAGGGUAGCGCCUCAGUGUAAGACUCUUGGAGGUAGAGCACUGAUUGGACUAGGGGUCAUCACGGAUUACCAAACCGAGUCAAACUCCGAAUGCCAAUGACUUAUGCUUAGGAGUCAGACUGCGAGUGAUAAGAUCCGUAGUCAAAGGGAAACAGCCCAGACCGCCAGCUAAGGUCCCAAAGUGUAUGUUAAGUGGGAAAGGAUGUGGGAGUUGCUUAGACAACUAGGAUGUUGGCUUAGAAGCAGCCACCAUUUAAAGAGUGCGUAAUAGCUCACUAGUCGAGUGACUCUGCGCCGAAAAUGUAACGGGGCUCAAACCAUACACCGAAGCUGCGGAUUGAUCACGUAAGUGAUCAGUGGUAGAGGAGCGUUCUGUAAGGACAGUGAAGGUCAGACUUGAGAAGCUGCUGGAGGUAUCAGAAGUGAGAAUGCUGGUAUGAGUAACGAAAGAUGGGUGUGAAAAACACCCACCCGAAUGCCCAAGGUUUCCUGAGGAAGGUUCGUCGGCUCAGGGUUAGUCAGUACCUAAGCCGAGGCCGACAGGCGUAGGCGAUGGACAACAGGUUGAUAUUCCUGUACCACCUCUUUCUGGUUAUUUGCAAUGGAGGGACGCAGAAGGAUAGAAGAAGCGUGGCGAUUGGUUGUGCAAGUUCAAGCAGUUAGGCUGGAAUACGUAGGUAAAUCCGCGGAUUCUAAGGCCGAGAGCUGAUGAUGAGUUAACUUUUAGUGAGCGAAGUCUUUGAUUCCCUGCUGCCAAGAAAAGCUUCUAGCGAGAUAACAGGUGCCUGUACCCCAAACCGACACAGGUGGGCGGGGAGAGAAUACUAAGGUGUGUGAGAGAACUCUGGUGAAGGAACUCGGCAAAAUGACACCGUAACUUCGGGAGAAGUGAGGGUGAAGGCUUGCUCGUAAGCGCAUGCCGAGUGAAAUACAGGCCGCAGCGACUGUUUAUCAAAAACACAGCUCUCUGCGAACCCGUAAGGGGAAGUAUAGGGUGUGACACCUGCCCGGUGCUGGAAGGUUAAUGGAGUGGGGUUAGCGUAAGCGAAGCUCUUGAACUGAAGCCCCAGUAAACGGCGGCCGUAACUAUAACGGUCCUAAGGUAGCGAAAUUCCUUGUCGGGUAAGUUCCGACCCGCACGAAUGGUGUAACGAUUUGGGCACUGUCUCCACCCGAGACUCGGUGAAAUUAUAAUCCCUGUGAAGAUGCAGGUUACCCGCGACAGGACGGAAAGACCCCGUGGAGCUUUACUGUAGCUUACUGAUUUUGAAUUUUGCAGUUGUGUAGGAUAGGCGGGAGCCUUUGAAACGUGGAGCGCCAGUCUUCGGUGGAGCCAACCUGGUGGGAUACCGCCCUGACUGUAUUGAGAUUCUAACCUACAGGUCCUUAUCACCCGGAUCGAGGACAGUGUAAGGUGGGCAGUUUGACUGGGGCGGUCGCCUCCUAAAGUGUAACGGAGGCGUCCGAAGGUGCGCUCAGAAUGGUUGGAAAUCAUUCGUAGAGUGCAAAGGCAAAAGGGAGCUUGACUGCGAGACCGACAAGUCGAGCAGGGACGAAAGUCGGGCUUAGUGAUCCGGUGGUUCCGCAUGGAAGGGCCAUCGCUCAACGGAUAAAAGCUACUCCGGGGAUAACAGGCUGAUACCCCCCAAGAGUCCACAUCGACGGGGGGGUUUGGCACCUCGAUGUCGGCUCAUCGCAUCCUGGGGCUGUAGUCGGUCCCAAGGGUAUGGCUGUUCGCCCUUUAAAGCGGUACGCGAGCUGGGUUCAGAACGUCGUGAGACAGUUCGGUCCCUAUCCGCCGUGGGCGUAUGAAAUUUGAGAGGGGCUGCUCCUUAGUACGAGAGGACCGGAGUGGACGCACCGCUGGUGUUCCAGUUGUCCCGCCAGUGGCAUUGCUGGGUAGCUAUGUUCGGAAUGGAUAACUGCUGAAAGCAUCUAAGCAGGAAACUCGCCUCAAGAUGAGAUCUCACUGGAACCUUGAGUUCCCUGAAGGGCCGUCGAAGACUACGACGUUGAUAGGUUGGGUGUGUAAGCGCUGUGAGGCGUUGAGCUAACCAAUACUAAUUGCCCGUGAGGCUUGACCAU
rnacentral:rRNA from 1 species